UCUAAAAAUCCGUGACCCGGAAGGGAUCUGACAAGACGCCAAUUGGCUUCACGCGGAUGACAGUGUCAGCAAGUUAGCAAAAAUAUGCUACCUAAAAUAAAUGUAGCUGCGACUUGUAGUUUUUAUUCUAACGUUACCUGAAUUAGUCGAAGGUCAAGAUGGCUACAAUUUACAAUAUGUUCCAGUCAGAAACAACAUCGAUUAUGGCCUUCGUCGUCGAGACGGCAAUGACAGAAAUAUACAAAUUUUUGCCAAACUCUGACGCUAACAACGACGUUAAUCCGGGGAGAGAGGUUAUAGGAAGCUAGGUUGAAGAUACCGUAUCCCUGAAAACCGGAUGUUUUUGGUUUUCAACCAUCGCGCUGAGGGUGCCGACUGCCUGGCGAACGUUAAUUUUUAAUUUUGUUUUAUUUAACCUUCAUUUAAUUAGGCAAGUCAAUUAAGAACAAAUGCGUAUUUGCAAUGACAGACUACACUGGCCAAACCCGGACGACGCUGGGCCAAUUGUGCGCCGCCCUAUUGGACUCCCAACCACGGCCGGUUGUGAAACAGCCUGGUACAACGUUACUUAACUAGUACUACUAGCUAGCCCUCAGCUAGGUUGCUAGCCAACGUUACUGGUUCCACAUCCUCUGCUUAAGCUGGCUGUAUACAGUAACUAACUAGUUCACUUGUUUCUAUUGCUCUACACAGCUCUGCACCAUUAUGAAUUUGUUGAUGGGGGAGGGUAUUCGUAAAGUCUGCCAACUAUUCCUUGUGGCCUCCUCACGUUUGCAAAAUGAAAACGAGAAACUGAAGACCAAGGUGGAGCAGAUGGAUGAAUAUAUGAAGGAAAUUACUGAGAAGGCUGAACAUUAUAGAACGUCUCUGGCUAAAGUGGAGGCUGAACCGAAAGUACAGACGCCAACCCAUGUUCUGCACAACGGAAUGAUCUUUGCAAUAAAACCAGUAGAUCUUCCAUUGUUGCCUGGAAUGACAGCGGCUUCAGCAUUUCCAGGGAAUGUCAGUCAAGCAAACACAGUCACUAACGCAACAUCCGUCUGUGCAGGUCCUACCAAAGUUUGCAGUAAACCUACAGAGACGACUUCAUUGGAGUAUGACUCAUCUCUGGGAGACACACAUGGACUGAAUACAGAGCCCUCACCAAGAGAUACUGAAUCCAACAUUGAGCAUAUGAGAGCUGCUCUUCCAGAGGGCACUGACAAUGGUAGAGACAGCCAUGAAAGACAUAAAAACACUAAUAUUACUAAUGUGACAGGAUCCACAGAAAACAAACGCUUCAAGUGUGAUGUUUGUGAGAAGACAUUCAGCAAGAAAGAGUUGCUGAGAGUUCACAAGCUAAUCCACACAAAACCUUUCAAGUGUGACAUUUGUGAGAAGACCUUCAGCAGGAAAGGGUUACUGGAAGGUCAUAAGCUAAUUCACACAAGACCCUUCACCUGUGAUGUUUGUGACAAGACCUUCAGCCUGAACCGCAUGCUGUUACGUCACAAGCUAAUUCACACAGGAGAGAGGCCAUUUGCUUGUGGUCAAUGUGGCAAAACAUUCAGAAUGUCCAAGCAGCUUGAACGUCACAUGUUGCAUCACAAAGAAAACAAUUUCAGUUGCAAAGUCUGUGGAAAUACAUUCUCUACCAAGACAGAUCUGACACUACAUCGGCUAGUUCAUGCAGUGGAGAGACCGUUCAAGUGCCUGACUUGUGGAAAGGGUUUCACAAAAAGGACCAUACUUAUGGGGCACGAGAGAAUCCACACCGGUGAAAAACCAUACAGCUGUGCUGAAUGUGGGAAGAGUUACAGACAGUCUUAUGACCUAAGAAUUCAUAUGCGAAGACAUACAGGUGCAGACAUACGUCCACACUUAUGCUCAGAGUGUGGUAAAAGCUUUAGGACAAAAUCCGUCCUUGAAAAGCACAAGCGAAUUCAUACAGGGGAGAAGCCAUUUAAAUGUGAGACCUGUGGAGCUGCUUUUGGCCAUAAAGGAAACCUUGUGCGACACCAAGUACUUCAUACGGGGGAGAGACCAUAUAAAUGUAAAGUGUGUGGGAAAAGCUACCCUCAGUCCACCGACUUAAAAGCUCACAUGCACCGUCAUGGGGCAACCAAACCUUUUAUGUGUGACCUAUGUGGAAAGACUUUUAUUUACAAUUACCAAAUGAGACAACAUAAUCUACAAUGGCACAUGGCUGAAGGAGAUAAGGUUCCUGGGAGAGAAGGAACAUCAACAAAGCCAUUCAGUUGCAAAAUAUGUUUGAACGGCUUCAGCUCCAUGCUAACUCUGAAAAAGCAUAAAGAAAUUCACACAGGACAAAAGCAAUAUUCUUGUUCCAUUUGCGGAAAGACCAUUGCAUAUAAAAAUGCUUUUGACUAUCACAUGAGAGUUCACAGUGGAGUGAAGCCCCAUGAAUGUAAAUACUGUGGAAGGACAUUUAUUCUGAAGCAAGCUCUUCAAGGACAUGAGCGGACCCAUACAGGUGAAAAACCCUUCAAAUGCAGUUAUUGUGACAAGACUUUUGCAGUCAACACCAAUCUGAAAAGGCAUGAGCGAAUCCACACAGGAGAGAAGCCAUUCAAAUGUGAUGUUUGCGGGAGAGGUUUCAGUCAAGCCAACAAUGUUAAAGCCCACAUGCAAGUCCACACUGGAGUUAGGCCUUACUAUUGCAAGAGAUGUGGAAAAGGCUUUUCUGACAUAAGACACUACAAAAACCAUAGCUGUGAUGGUGUGGCUGUUACACGCACACACUGUGAUGGUGAUAAUUAUCGUAAAUCUUCUGACAGCACUUUCAGAAGUAGAAAAGGAGUUAGACAGGAGUGCUUGCCAUAAUGCUGCUGUUUUGUAGACUCAGUGAUAUUAUCUACAGACUGUAGACUACAGUGGUGCAACUUCCUGCUUACAGAUGUCAUGAACAAUGGGGAUUUAUUCAGUAGUGUGAAAUGUUCUCGGGUGAGUGUCUGGAAAGCCUUGUAUGAAAUGAGAGCGUGCUUUAGGAAAUUAGAUAUGUGCUUGCUGUAGUUCUUGGAGAUCUUGCUAUAAAUCAAAGGGUUAAUGUUCAUGAGCCCAAAUUCUCAUUUGUUCAUAUUGUGUAAAUCAAUAAACACAUAAUUCAUGUGAAGUUAUAAACUGA